rnacentral:rRNA from 1 species
CUACGGGGUGCUCCAGUGGGGAAUAUUGGACAAUGGGGGAAACCCUGAUCCAGCAAUUCCGCGUGUGUGAAGAAGGCCUGCGGGUUGUAAAGCACUUUCGGUUGGGAGGACUGCUUCUAGCACUAAUAUUGUUGGAAGUUGACGUUACCUUCAGAAGAAGCACCGGCUAACUCCGUGCCAGCAGCCGCGGUAAUACGGAGGUGCAAGCGUUAAUCGGAAUUACUGGGCGUAAAGCGCGCGUAGGCGGCUAGAUCAGUCGGGUGUGAAAGCCCCGGGCUUAACCUGGGAACUGCAUCCGAUACUGUCUAGCUUGAGUACUGGAGAGGAGAGUGGAAUUCCACAUGUAGCGGUGAAAUGCGUAGAUAUGUGGAGGAACACCAAUGGCGAAGGCAGCUCUCUGGCCUGAUACUGACGCUGAGGUGCGAAAGCGUGGGGAGCAAACAGGAUUAGAUACCCGGGUAGUC